CCACCCCGGCCUCCAUCACAGGUAACAGGCGCCGCCGCCACCACCUUCCUGCCCGGCAACAAGCACUGCCGCCCCCACCUCCCUCCGGCGGAGGAAGCACAGCUGCCCCCAUCUCCCUCCCCGGCAGACGCGCCACCGACCUCACCUCCCUCCCCGGCAGAUGCGCCGUCGUGCUCCACCUCCUGGCUGGGCAGCCGCAUGCCUCCACCUCCAGGCUUCCCGACGACCCCGUUCGAUCCAGCCCCAGUUGGUUCAAGAUGUAUCCGGCGCCUCCCUGCAGAUACUUCAAUACAUAGAAAUAGUGCCCUGCCAUCCUCCCUGCUCUGCUAGGGCCCGACGACGCGUUCCACCAUAUCCUCCCCGCGUCGAAAGCACUCAUCGGGAGCUCCACACUGUCGGGCAUCCCCCAUGUAGCAGAGGGCGCCUCCCUUCGGCAGUCCAACCCCAACGCGUGCCGCUAGCCAACCUGCAUCAGCACCGCGGAGCAAUCCUCCCCUCAACCCCCUCCUAUCCCACUGCACAACAGCGGCAAGAACCAGCUGUGGCUAUUUUUGUAGUGUGAUUUUUGUGUAAAAAAGCACACAACACGCUGGAGUCCGCUGUGCUGCUGAUCCACUCAAAUACAGUAGCAACAUCCGUGGAGCUCUUCUCGCGACAGGGAGCCUACAGCGGAACCGGAGUGGUUCAGGGGCAUAUCGAGCAGACUCUUUGACCCAGAGGUUUAUUUGUCCCCUUGUGAAGAGGCAGAGCAGAGUGUUUCUCGCCGAGCGAGCGAGCGAUCGAUGCAUGCACGUCAAGUCGCCUGCAGCAGAUAAACACAAGCGAAGGUUCAGACGACUGUCUGUUCGCCGUGCCAGGAUUCACUCGUGCUGCUUUUGUAAAGGCUCCAGAACUGCUACUCCAAGGUAAGAUCGAUAGGAUGAAACUAUGGGCAGCAAGCAGCAGUUACCUGUUCAGACGAGUGGUAUAAGCUGACUCCUCCAACAAGGCACUAAAUUUUAUGAUUUGGUCCUUCUAAACUGUGUGGUGUAGGCUAUGGCAGCAGCACCAUUUUCCUCUUAA